UGGCAUAAUGGUUAAAGUACUUGGCUGUUAACCAAAAAGUUUGGUGGUUCAAACCCACC
rnacentral:tRNA from 1 species